AACGUAGGAGGCGAGCGUUAUCCGGAUUUACUGGGUGUAAAGCGCGUGCAGGCGGUUGGCGAAGUUGGGUGUGAAAGCUCCUGGCUUAACUGGGAGAGGUCGCUCAAAACUGGCCGACUGGAGAGCAGUAAGGGAAGGUGGAAUUCCGGGUGUAGUGGUGAAAUGCGUAGAUAUCCGGAGGAACACCAGUGGCGAAGGCGGCCUUCUGGACUGCAUCUGACGCUCAGACGCGAAAGCUAGGGGAGCAAAC
rnacentral:rRNA from 1 species